rnacentral:lncRNA from 1 species
AUGCCCAAAGGAAAGAAGGCCAAGGGGAAGAAGGUGGCCCUAGCCCCUGCCAUUGUCAAGAAACAGGAAGCCAAAAAGGUGGUCAGCCCUUUGUUUGAGAAAAGGCCCAAGAACUUCAGCAUUGGGCAGGACAUCCAGCCCAAAAGAGAUCUAACACGUUUCAUCAAAUGGCCCUACUAUAUCAGGCUACAGCUGCAAAGAGCCAUCCUCUCUAUAAGUGGCUCAAAGUACCUCCUGCCAUUAACCAGUUCACCCAGGCCCUGGACAGGCAAACAGCUACUCAGCUGCUUAAGCUUGCCCACAAGUACAGGUCAGAGACAAAGCAAGAGAAGAAGCAAAGGCUACUGGCCCAUGCUGAGAAGAAAGACUAAGAGUCUACCUGUCCUCCAUGCAGGGGUCAAUACAGUCACCACCUUGGUGGAGAACAAGAAGGCUCAGCUGGUGGUGAUUGCCUGUGGAUAGACCCCAUUGAGCUGGUGGUUUUCCUGCCUGCCCAGUCGAAAGAUGGGGGUGCCCUAUUGCAUUAUCAAGGAAAAGGACAGGCUGGGGUGCCUGGUCCAUAGGAAGACACGCACCAGUGUUGCCUUCACACAGGUUAACUCAGAAGACAAGGAUGCUCUGGCUAAGCUGGUGGAAGCUAUUGGGACCAAUUAUAAAGACAGAUAUGACGAGAUCUGUCACCACUGGGGAGGCAACGUCCUGGGUCCUAAGUCUGUGGCUCAAAUUGCCAAGCUGAAAAAGGCAAAGGCUAAAAAACUCGCCAAUAAAUUGGGUUAA